ACCGUGGGUCCCGGAGGAGGCAGCAGCGGGAGCGGGCGCUCGGCUGGCUCCCUCCCGCCCCCGCCGCGCCCUGAGCCUGCGGCUACCGCCUCCUCCCGCCCUCGCUGCUCCCCUCCUUCUCCCCGGGCUCCAAUCCCCACGUUCCGCCCGCUCCCCGCCCCCGGCUGCCUCCUUUCUCCCCACCUUCUCCCGCGAAUCCACACUCUUAAAGAGCGGAGGGAAGGCGCGCGGGCUGGCUGAGGCACGGACUGGCAGAGCCUCGUCGACAGGAGGCAGAGCUAGGGAGAGAUUUGGAGAAGGGUCGGGCCGACCUGAGAGAGGGAGAGAUCCUGACGUGGUGACACACAGCAGAGGAAUAGACUGACCGGUGGCAUACAGGUGAAGAGAGAAGCAUGCGAGCCAGACAGGCGCAGAAGAAAUAGGGCUAGAAUGGAUGAGAAACAAGGGGAUGGAGAACAGCCUGGAAGCCUCAGCCUCUCUUGGCCGGCCCCUCCUCGGAGUGAUAUGGGAAUCCGCCCGACCUUCAUCAGUAUUGCCUGCGCCUGGUGGGCGCCGGAAAUCAGAUGAAGACACCUGGUGUUCUCAUGUCCCAGGUUGCUGGAUGCUGCUUCCUGAUCCUUUGCCUCACAGGAGAUUUCUGUGCGCUUUUCCCAAAAGGACUCAGUUGAGAACUCCACAACAGGUUCAAGUGCUCCCCACCCCCGGCCCCCAGGCAGCGCCAGUCAUCUACGCGUUCUACUUAGGAGCUGGCCAUCAUUCUCCUUGGGAAGACUUCUGAGAUCCCAGACUUCCCAAGGAAUAUUCUUCCUGUAGUCUAACCCCAUUCCUUUCUUUUGCAGUGUCUACUUCUGGUAAUAGAUGGGAACUUAUGGAAUUGAGCUAAUGGACCAACUGAUUUUAGUUGUGCCACUCUGGAGGGGAAGGUGGAGGGCAGGGAUAAGAUGGGGAUCUUCCUAGAAGCUGGAAGCCAUUACCAUUUCUGAUUCCUUAGCGUUCUUUGCAGUGAGCACUUCCUGAAACGAUUUCCCUGAUGUCACCCUCUCCACUGGGGUUUCCAUGAUGAAAACUGGAGGUGGGAUCUGAGAAGCCAGUGUGCAGCUUAAUGUCCAGUACCUGCUCAAAGUACUCUUCACCACUGACUCUCAGGCUUUCUGGGCCUCCCUAUCAUCUCUCAGCUAAGUCCUUUCUGUGCUCAUCUUGUCUUUGGCAAAGGCUGGGAAGUCUGGUUCUGAUUACAAGGGGGCGGAGCACCUAAUUCCAGUCUGGUGGCAGGAAUAGGCUGUCAAGCAGGGCAUGUUGACAAUGUGGGUCCUCCCAGAGACUGGCGUUUGGGAGGGGGUGGAUGUGGCCAGGACUGGGAAGCCUUGAUCUUCCUGCUCUUGGCUGUGAUAGUUUUCAGCAGGCAGUUUCAGAGGUUAGAGCCUGGGGAGGGAAUGGAUGGGGAAGCACUGGGAGAG
rnacentral:lncRNA from 1 species